rnacentral:rRNA from 1 species
UGGGGAAUAUUGGACAAUGGGCGAAAGCCUGAUCCAGCCAUGCCGCGUGUGUGAAGAAGGUCUUCGGAUUGUAAAGCACUUUAAGUUGGGAGGAAGGGCAGUAAGCGAGUACCUUGCUGUUUUGACGUUACCGACAGAAUAAGCACCGGCUAACUCUGUGCCAGCAGCCGCGGUAAUACAGAGGGUGCGAGCGUUAAUCGGAUUUACUGGGCGUAAAGCGUGCGUAGGCGGCUAAUUGAGUCGGAUGUGAAAUCCCCGAGCUUAACUUGGGAAUUGCAUUCGAUACUGGUUAGCUAGAGUGUGGGAGAGGAUGGUAGAAUUCCAGGUGUAGCGGUGAAAUGCGUAGAGAUCUGGAGGAAUACCGAUGGCGAAGGCAGCCAUCUGGCCUAACACUGACGCUGAGGUACGAAAGCAUGGGGAGCAAACAGG